AGAGAGAGAAAUAUGGAUAUGUAAAUAUAAAAUCUUUUUCGUAACUUUCCAGCAUAGGAAGACUCCAAGAGAAUGUCUUCUGACCAAUGACCCUUCUGUGCCACAAGAAUGCUUUGCACUUAGAACAACUUUCUUUGAAUGUAAACGAUCACUGCUGGAUACUCGUCAGAGAUUUAGAGGACGUAAAGGCUACUAACAAUCGCAUCACCAUUGAUAUUAAUACUUCAUUUGUAAAUAGAUCUUUCUUAGUUUUUAUAUAAGCUUGCAGUUCUUGGUAUCCUUAUAAUGAAUAUGUGCAAAUGGCAGAUGCUCAUCUAAUUUAAAACAUGAUGGAGAAGAAUAUAUGGCAAAUGACAUCUGACAAUAUCAUGGAUGAUCCUAUUCAGUAUAUGAUAUAUGAUAUGAACAACAAACACCUCAGUCCUAAGUGAGGAAGUCAUCAUUUAUUCUUUUUUCUCAAACAAUACUUUGUAAUUAAUGUCAGGGGUGUGAAUAUUAUCUUUUAGUUUAAAGCCUCUAGUGUCAUUCAUGUGAUAUUGUUUUUUUGCAACAUAGCUUUAGUGUAUUUUCAAAAUGAGAGAAAAAGUGUAUUUACAUUAUGUAGGUCUGAAUUUGUGUACUUGAGUUAUCAAUAAAGAUGUCUUGUAAAUAAGCUAAACCAAG